GCCUCCAUAGCCCAAUGGUAGAGGCAGUCGACUUAAAAUCGAUUCAGUGCCGGUUCGAGUCCGGCUGGAGGUA
rnacentral:tRNA from 2 species